rnacentral:rRNA from 1 species
AGAGUUUGAUCCUGGCUCAGGAUGAACGCUGGCGGUAUGCUUAACACAUGCAAGUCGAACGGUCUUUUCGGAGAUAGUGGCGGACGGGUGAGUAACGCGUAAGAAUCUACCUUCAGGUUGGGGACAACCACUGGAAACGGUGGCUAAUACCCAAUGUGCCGAGAGGUGAAAGGCUUGCUGCCUGAAGAAGAGCUUGCGUCUGAUUAGCUAGUUGGUGGGGUAAGAGCCUACCAAGGCGACGAUCAGUAGCUGGUCUGAGAGGAUGAUCAGCCACACUGGGACUGAGACACGGCCCAGACUCCUACGGGAGGCAGCAGUGGGGAAUUUUCCGCAAUGGGCGAAAGCCUGACGGAGCAAUACCGCGUGAGGGAGGAAGGCUCUUGGGUUGUAAACCUCUUUUCUCAGGGAAGAACAAAAUGACGGUACCUGAGGAAUAAGCAUCGGCUAACUCCGUGCCAGCAGCCGCGGUAAUACGGAGGAUGCAAGCGUUAUCCGGAAUGAUUGGGCGUAAAGGGUCCGCAGGUGGCAUUGUAAGUCUGCUGUUAAAGAGUUUGGCUCAACCAAAUAAAAGCAGUGGAAACUACAAAGCUAGAGUGUGGUCGGGGCAGAGGGAAUUCCUGGUGUAGCGGUGAAAUGCGUAGAUAUCAGGAAGAACACCGGUGGCGAAGGCGCUCUGCUAGGCCAAGACUGACACUGAGGGACGAAAGCUAGGGGAGCGAAUGGGAUUAGAUACCCCAGUAGUCCUAGCCGUAAACGAUGGAUACUAGGCGUAGCUCGUAUCGACCCGAGCUGUGCCGUAGCUAACGCGUUAAGUAUCCCGCCUGGGGAGUACGCAGGCAACUGUGAAACUCAAAGGAAUUGACGGGGGCCCGCACAAGCGGUGGAGUAUGUGGUUUAAUUCGAUGCAACGCGAAGAACCUUACCAAGGCUUGACAUGUCACGAAUUCCGUUGAAAGAUGGAAGUGCCUUCGGGAACGUGAACACAGGUGGUGCAUGGCUGUCGUCAGCUCCGGUCGGGAGAAGUUGGGGUAAAUCCCGCAACAGAGCGCAACCCUUGUUUUUAUUUGCCAGCCAUUAAGUUGGGGCACUCUUAGAAGAGACUGCCGGUGACAAACCGGAGGAAGGUGGGGAUGACGUCAAGUCAGCAUGCCCCUUACGUCUUGGGCUACACACGUACUACAAUGCUACGGACAAAGGGCAGCUACACAGCGAUGUGAUGCGAAUCUCAUAAACCGUAGCUCAGUUCAGAUCGAAGGCUGCAACUCGCCUUCGUGAAGGAGGAAUCGCUAGUAAUUGCAGGUCAGCAUACUGCAGUGAAUUCGUUCCCGGGCCUUGUACACACCGCCCGUCACACCAUGGAAGUUGGUCACGCCCGAAGUCGUUACCCCAACCUUUUGGAGGGGGAUGCCUAAGGUAGGACUGAUGACUGGGGUGAAGUCGUAACAAGGUAGCCGUACCGGAAGGUGUGGCUGGAUCACCUCCUUUUAGGGAGACCCAAAUCAAGUCAAAAGGCAAAAGUCAAAAGUCAAAAAUCAAGACCUAGACAAAAAACCUAGACUUCGGUUUAUCCCAAGGUCGGUCGCAGACUUGAAGUAAAGCUUUCAAACUAUGGUUUGGUUCGAUAAGGGCUAUUAGCUCAGGUGGUUAGAGCGCACCCCUGAUAAGGGUGAGGUCCCUGGUUCGAGUCCAGGAUGGCCCACCUGAAGAAUUUUAGAUUGGCGAUUUUAGAUUUUAGAUUGAAAUAUACAACCAAUCCAAAAUCGCAAAUCCAAAAUUUAGUAGGGGGGUUUAGCUCAGUUGGUAGAGCGCCUGCUUUGCAAGCAGGAUGUCAGCGGUUCGAGUCCGCUAACCUCCACAUUUGGAAAAAAACAGCAACUGAAACUAUUGACAUGAUAAUAGUUUUUGACUGCUGGGUUAAAUUCCAGCCAGAACCUUGAAAACUGCAUAAGAGAAAGAGAAAAAGCACCGCAGACACAGACAUUGAGAUGGAUGUGAAAGCAAACAAGCAGACAUUGUGGUCAAGCUAGUAAGGGCUAAUGGUGGAUACCUAGGCACACAGAGGCGAAG